rnacentral:rRNA from 1 species
GACAUACUAAGAACUUUCCAGAGAUUGGAUUGGUGCCUUUCGGGAACUUUAGAUACAGGUGCUGCAUGGCUGUCGUCAGCUCGUGUCGUGAGAUGUUGGGUUUAAGUCCGCAACGAGCGCAACCCUUUUUCCUUAUUUGCCAGCGGGUAAUGCCGGGAACUUUAAGGAUACUGCCAGUGACAAACUGGAGGAAGGCGGGGACGACGUCAAGUCAUCAUGGCCCUUACGGCCAGGGCUACACACGUGCUACAAUGGUCGGUACAAAGGGUUGCUACCUCGCGAGAGGAUGCUAAUCUCAAAAAGCCGAUCGUAGUCCGGAUCGCAGUCUGCAACUCGACUGCGUGAAGUCGGAAUCGCUAGUAAUCGCGGAUCAGAAUGCCGCGGUGAAUACGUUCCCGGGCCUUGUACACACCGCCCGUCACACCAUGGGAGUUUGUUGCACCAGAAGUAGGUAGUCUAACCGCAAGGAGGACGCUUACCACGGUGUGGCCGAUGACUGGGGUGAAGUCGUAACAAGGUAAGCGUAGAUGA